rnacentral:rRNA from 1 species
UCAUGGCUCAGAUUGAACGCUGGCGGCAGGCCUAACACAUGCAAGUCGAGCGGUAGCACAAGAGAGCUUGCUCUCUGGGUGACGAGCGGCGGACGGGUGAGUAAUGUCUGGGAAACUGCCUGAUGGCGGGGGAUAACUAGUGGAAACGGUAGCUAAUACCGCAUAACGUCGCAAGACCAAAGUGGGGGACCUUCGGGCCUCACGCCAUCAGAUGUGCCCAGGUGGGAUUAGCUGGUAGGUGGGGUAACGGCUCACCUAGGCGACGAUCCCUAGCUGGUCUGAGAGGAUGACCAGCCACACUGGAACUGAGACACGGUCCAGACUCCUACGGGAGGCAGCAGUGGGGAAUAUUGCACAAUGGGCGCAAGCCUGAUGCAGCCAUGCCGCGUGUGUGAAGAAGGCCUUCGGGUUGUAAGCACUUUCAGCGAGGAGGAAGGGUAAUGUGUUAAUA